rnacentral:rRNA from 1 species
UACGUAGGGUGCAAGCGUUAAUCGGAAUUACUGGGCGUAAAGCGUGCGCAGGCGGUUGUGCAAGACCGAUGUGAAAUCCCCGGGCUUAACCUGGGAAUGGCAUUGGUGACUGCACGGCUAGAGUGUGUCAGAGGGGGUAGGAAUUCCACGUGUGAGCAGUGAAAUGCGUAGAGAUGUGGAGGAAUACCGAUGGCGAAGGCAGCCCCCUGGGAUAACACUGAGCGCCUCAUGCACGAAAGCGUGGGGAGC